rnacentral:lncRNA from 1 species
UCUAAAAAUAUAACUUCUUUCGAGCGCUGAUCGGAAGUCGUGUCACGAAAUUUCACAAUGCGUGGGACUAAUUUGGAAAGUGAUGCAAAUUAUGUGAAAUCGUAUUUGACUUAGAAGGAAUUUAUGUACGUAAUAAGAUACGAAUCGCGAAGUUCUUCGUUUCGAUGGAAGCUGUACAGUUUCGAAGAAGAAAUUUACAUAGGAGGAAAAAAAACAUAUGGAAAAUGGUGCACUCUUGCGUAUACUGCAAAAUAUUAUACGAUAACAGAGCGUUACACAACAUAAAAGGAAAAUCGUGUUUAUACGAAAAAGGCAAUCGACAUAUGCAAAUAUACGUACGUCAAGCAAGGAUUGGAUACAAUUUCAUUUGUGUUUAGUUUUAAAGAAGAGCUUGGGAAUACCGAGCACAGUGGGAAUGCACAGUGGUGAUUAAUCAUGCUUCAUAGUCGAUGGGAACGAUUCAUUAUUGAAGCAGAUUUCCAAUUAUACCAAGGCGACUGGUCAUAGAAGAAUAUCGUGGACAAUAUUUGAAUUAUUGAAAUUUUUGUUGUAAUCUUGACUAUGUAACGAUAUUGAAUAUAUCUGGUAUAUGUAUCAUGUAAUAUUUUUGAUAUAACUGAAUAAUUGUCAACAUAAUAGAUAGAAUUUUACCGGAAAUUUAAUAUCACAGGGUACAUAUUAGAUGCAGAAUUCAAAUGCCAAGAAAGGUUAGAUCGCAUCUAAAGUUUUGUUUGUAACAUUUACUUGGUCAAAAUUGCCUAGCUAAACUGAUGAUUCAAAUCUGAUUAUACAUGUAAGAUAUUUUAUGCAUUAUCUCUAUGACAUUUUAGAUCAGAUAAUAUGUAUUCGGAUGUAUUAUAUAGUUAUUGGAGAAGUAUCAAUAUUUAAAUGAAUUGAGAAACCUCUUUGCUUCGGUUAAGGAAUAUAAAUUAAGAAACGAUCUUAUAUAUAUAUUAGUAAUUGCGCAUUUUAUUUUAUAUAAAUAAUGCUGUAAAUAUCAUUCGAGUUAAAAUGAAACUAACCAAAUUUUAUACACCUAUGUUUUUCAAAGUAAGUGGUAAAACAAAGCUUUUAAGAUGCUGUUUUCAUUACAAUACAUACAAAUUCUAAAUAUGAUUAAAAGAAAGAUACAGAAAAGAAUAUAAUAAGAAAAUUUUGAAGGUCAAACAUUAACCUUUUUCUCUUUAAUUAUUAUGCAAAAGAUGCGUUUGGUGACCUCUCUUCUACUAAUACAUAUGCACGAGAACCUGUUGUUUUAUAAUCUGCUUCGAUAAUAUCCCUAACACUUACUUGCUCUACUUGUACUGAAGUUGCAAAUUUAUACAUAUAAGUAAGAAAGCUACGUAGCAGCAACUAGUUUCAUACAUAGAGGUUAAAAAUAUAUCUGAAGAUACAGUACGCUAGUCAUAUAAAACAUACGUUACUGUGUUAUCGUGUAAGUGGAUGCGAUAUGAGAAUGAAAAGAAAACGUUACAUAGAGGCCCCUUCCAUCAUUGGCAAAUAAUGCCGCUCGUUGAUCAGUGUUACACUUACAU